UUCCUACCCCCAGGCAGAUUGACACUUCCUUCCAACUUGGUGUCAUCCACAAACUUACUGAGGGUGCACUCAAUGCCUUUAUCCAGGUUACCAAUAAAGAUAUUGGACAAAAUAGGCCCCAGUACCAACCACUGGGGAACACCACUCGUGAUUGGUUGCCAGCUGGAUGUGACUUCAAUUACCACCACUUUCUAGGCCCAGACAUCCAGCCAAUUCUUUACCUAGCAAAGAGUGUAUACGUCCAAGACACAGGCUGCAAAUUUCUCCAGGAGAACACUGUGGGAGACAGUGUUGAAGGCUUUGAUGAAGUCUAGGUAGAUUAUGUAAUCAACCGCUCCCUCAUCCACCAGGUGGGUUACUCAAUCAUAACAGAUAAGGUUGGUCAAGUACGACCUGUCUUUCAUGAACCCAUGCUGGCUGCGUCUGAUCCCCUGGUUGUCCCACUCAUGCCGUGUAAUCUCCCUCAAGAUGAUCUGCUCCAUAACCUUUCCUGGCACUGAGGUCAGGUUGAUAGACCUGUAGCUGCCUGGAUUCUCUUUACAACCCUUCUUUGUAGAUGGGAGUCACAUAGGCAAGCUUUCAAUCCUCUGGGACCUUUCCAGUUGAACAGGAAAGCUGAUAGAUGAUGGAAAAAGGCUUGGCCUGUGCCAGUUCCUUAAGCACCCACAGGUGGAUCCCAUCCGGCCCCAUGGACUUGUGACAGUCUAGGUGGAGUAGCAGGUUUCUAAUAGUUGCCACUUGAAUCACUGGGGGUUUAUUCUCUUCCCCAUCCAAGACCUCCUGGUCAGGGGGUAGAGUAUCCCGAGGAUAACUGGUCUGACUUUGAAAGACAGACAUAAAAAGGGCAUUGAGAACCUCAGCCUUUUUCUUAUCCUCAGCAGUCACAUUCCCUAGUGCAUCCAGUAAAGGAUGGAGAUUCUCCUUAGCGCUCUUCUUACUGUUAAUAUAUUUGUAAAAAAUCUUUUUGUUCUCUUUUAACCCAACAACCAAGAUGAGUUCAUCUGGGCUUUUGCCUUUCUAAUUUUCUCCCUGCACAUCCUAACAACUUCUUUGUACUCUCCUUGAGUUUCCUGUCCCUUCUUUUGCAGGAGGAAGAUUCUCUUUUUCUCCUGGAGUCUCAGGAAAACCUCCCUGUUUACCCAUGCAGAACUUCUCUGCUGGCUCAUCUUGUGGCAUAGGGGGAUAGCCUGCUCCUGUACCUUUAAGACUUCCCUCUUGAGGAGCAACCAGCUUUUCUGGAUCCCUUUAUCCUUCAGGACUGAAUUCCAAGGGAUUACCAGUGUCCUGAGCAAAUCAAAGUCUGCCCUCCAGAAGUCUAAGGUAGCAGUUUUGCUGUCUUCCUCUGCCCUGACUUCACCAAGAAUUGAAAACUCUACUGUUUCAUGGUCACUCUCUCCAAGACAACUCUCAAGCUUCACAUGUCCCACCAGUCAUUCUCUGUGAACAGCAGGUCUAGUGGAGCACCUCCCCUGGUAAGAUCUCAUACCAACUGCUCAGGAAAUUACCUUCCAUACAAUCUUGAAAUCUCCUAGACUGUUUCUUCUGUGCUGCAUUAUAUUUCUAAUACAUAUCAGGGAAUUUAAAGUGCCCCUUGAGAACAAGGGCUGGUGAUCACGCAGCUUCUGUCAGCUGCUCGUAGAAUGCCUCAUCUGUCUCUUCAUCAUGGUUCGACAAUUUAUAACAGAUCCCCACCAGGAUGUCCCUUGUUGGCCCUCCCCCUGAUCCUUACCCAUACAGACUCAACCUUAUAAUUUCCAGCCCCAGGAUCAACAACAUCAAAGCACUCUCUAACAUAGAUCCAUGCCAUCACUCCUCCUUCCUUGCUUGUCCCUUCUGAAGAGCUUAUAGCCAUCCAUUGCAGUACUCCAGUCAUGGAAGUCAUCCCACCAUGUUUCUGUAAUGGUAACUAAGUCAUAAUUUGCCUGCUGCACAAUGGCUUCCAGCUCCUAUUUUUUGCCCAUGCUGCGUGCAUUGCUGUAGACGCACUUCAACUGAGCCCCCUGCCUCACCCCCAGUACCAUCAUCACUCCCCUAGGCUCAUCUCAAGUGGGUGUGGUUUUAUCCCCUUCCUCUUUCAUACUUAGUUUAAAGACCUCUCAACGAGCCCUGCCAGAUCCUAGGCUAGGAUGCAUUUCCCCCUUUGAGACAGGUGAGACCAGCCACUAGGCCAGGUGCUGAGUAAACUGCCCAAUGAUCAAAAAACCAAAAUUAUUACAUUUGCAUCAGCCUCUCAGCUAUGUACAUGAGAUGGGUCUUCCUGCUCCUUUCAGUACCCUUCUCCUGCCAUUGAAGGGAUAGAGGAAAAUAUAAACUGUACACUGCCCCAGUCUCUUGAAGUCCUUUUUGAUAAUCCUCAGGCUUCUCUCAGCGACUUCAUUGCUGCCAGCCUGAACUAUCAAUAAAGGAUAAUAAUCAGAGAGGUGAAUCAGAUUAGGAAGUUUCCUAGACAUAUCCCUAACCCAGGUCCCAGGGAUGCAGCACACUUCCCUACAGGAAGGGUUAGGGGACAUACAGCCCCUCAGUUCCUCUCAGUGGGGAGUCACCUAUGGCGACCAUUGUUCUGUCCUUCUUGGUGGAGGCAGUCUUGAGGUGUGGAGUCAACCACCUCACUCUAGACAACCUUGUGGGUGAACCUCCCACUACAUCCUCUUUCAAGUUCCAGAACCUCAAACUAUUAUGCAAGGGCACGAAGUUAGGUUGGGAUGGGGCUUGCCUGUGAAAGCGAGCUGGGACCUGUUUCCACUCCUCCUCUUUCCUUAAAUCACCUCUCUCUGCUUGAAAAUGACAGAGGAGAGCAUCCACCACUGUUUGGGGGGUAUCACCUCAGUGUCUUUCUUGCUCCACCAAUCUAUCUCCUGCUCUCAUUCUCUGAUACUGCUUAAUCUCUCCACAUCUUCCUUGAGAUUCACCACCACACUGAGUAGAUCACCCACCUGCUCACACAAGUGGAGUCCCUGCUGCCCUUUGUCAGCAGCAACAGGCUCAGGCUCUUGCUGCAGUCAGGGACUUGAACUGCCACAUAUUUAGGCAAGCACUCCAUGAGUUGCCACAUUCUUUCUUGCCAGAGCUUUCUGCGUAGUGGUGACCAUAGCUAGAUUUGCUGUCUGGGAGGCAGCUGAUAGGUAAAACAUUCUCCUAAGUGGGCAGAGAUACUCUCCUUCCUUGCAUAGCCUGCUCUCCUACCCUGUGUGAACUGUCUGCACAAAUUGCUGCUCCACAUCCUUCUGAUGUGCCAUGCCCUGUUUACCCAUCCUGUUUGCAUCACUCCUGGGUCUCUGCUCCUUAGUGGCACGUUUUAUACAUGCAGGGGGUGAUCCUGCCACUGCUCCUGGCUCCACCCCUGUGAUGUCAGAAAGCCGAUGCCAUGCAGAGCACAAUGGCACCUGGCAGCUGUUCUACGACAGAACUGCCCUUCAACCAACUGAGGCAAUUCCCUGCUUCAGCGUGGAAAGCAUCUGCUCCAGACCUGAGCGCCUUGCCAUAAAGAGAAAACUGGAAGACUGCAGAAAGACAUACUAGGAAAGAGGAAGCACAGAAAAUCUAGAAUCCCUCACAUAAUUCAGCUAAUUUCAUUGUCAGAAAUGUUGAAAAAAUAACAAAAAUGUUGAAGAAAAUUGAACGAUCCAGAUGGUAUUGGCUUGUGUAGAAAAUUGUGAGUUUUUAUUAUUCUUCUUAUUAUUAAAAGAUUAAUGAAUAAAGGUUCAAAGUUUGUGAAGAACUGCAAUGAUAAAGAGGACAAAGAGGUGUGACACGUGAAAUAACAACUAGAGCAAUAAAUGGAAUUCAGGUAAAAUGUCUUAAAACCUACAUACAAGUAUUGAAAUUCUACUGGCACUAAUGUGUCAUAUUUACACCUACGUCCAGAAAGUCA